GUAGGGAAUAUUGGACAAUGGGCGGAAGCCUGAUCCAGCCAUGCCGCGUGGAGGAUGACUGCCCUCUGGGUUGUAAACUCCUUUUGUACAGGAAGAAACCUCCUCAUUUAUGAGUGAGCUGACGGUACUGUAAGAAUAAGCACCGGCUAACUCCGUGCCAGCAGCCGCGGUAAUACGGAGGGUGCAAGCGUUAUCCGGAUUCACUGGGUUUACAGGGUGCGUAGGCGGUUUUAUAAGUCAGUGGUGAAAUCAACGGGCUCAACCGUUUAACUGCCAUUGAUACUGUAGGACUUUAAUAUGAGAGGUGUAGGCGAAAUGUUGCAUGUAGCGGUGAAAUGCUUAGAUAUGCUACGGAACACCGAUUGCGAAGGCAGCUUACUAUUUAAUGAUUGACGCUGAGGCACGAAAGCUUGGGUAGCGAACAGGAUUAGAAACCCAGUAGUCC
rnacentral:rRNA from 1 species